GCCGGCGUGGCGGAAUUGGUAGACGCAGUAGACUCAAAAUCUACCGCCUUCGCGGGUGUCCCGGUUCGAGUCCGGGCGCCGGUA
rnacentral:tRNA from 1 species